UACAGAGGGUGCAAGCGUUGUUCGGAAUUAUUGGGCGUAAAGCGCGUGUAGGCGGCCUCGCAAGUCGGGUGUGAAAGCCCUCAGCUCAACUGAGGAAGCGCGUCCGAAACUGCUGAGCUUGAGUACUUAAGAGGAUCGCGGAAUUCCCGGUGUAGAGGUGAAAUUCGUAGAUAUCGGGAGGAACACCAGUGGCGAAGGCGGCGAUCUGGGAAGAUACUGACGCUGAGGCGCGAAAGCUAGGGGAGCAAACGGG
rnacentral:rRNA from 1 species